AAUUUAUUAUCACUCACAAUUUUCACAAAAUUGAGUGUUUGGAUAAGCCAGUGUGAUGCACUAAUGACCCUUGUGGACCUGUCUGUUUUCUCCACAGGGUCAAAUCAAAGGAGGGCUUCACGUUCAUUCCUCUAUGGCCUUGCCUACCUCCUGAAUGGAAAACACCUGACCAAAAGACCCCGAAGCUUGCAGCAUUUGUGAGCAGAGGGGGAAAGAGCUACCAAUGGAAAAUGGAAAACAUAUGGAAAACUGUCCAACAUAUUUACAGAAAUUUCAUUUUGAAGAAGGUAUUCCAGAGGAAGCAAAAGGUAAAGACAUACACAUCCAUCAAUGAGAAACACCUGGAAAGAGAUUGAAUUGCCUCUCCACAAGAAAAUAUGUUCAACUUCAACUGAAACCAGCCCCAUAAUCACAAAGACACGGGACAUUAGGAUUAUCCAUCAACCAGUAUACACAAGAGGCGACAGGAAGGAUGCAGUUGCUACUUCCAAAUGGGGAGUUCACCUGGCACACUACAUCAGCAAGAUGAAGAAUAGCUGCAGGGAGCUCCCUUUGUCCUUAUCAGAAAGAACAUCUUACACAAAUUAUAACUAAGUUCAAACACCUAAGUUUAUUCUCCGUCUUUCCACUUUCCAAUUCUGCUUCUUUUUCUGAAAUGCAUUUUCUCCUCCCCAGGACUGCCUUAUUAUUAAUAUCUGUAAGUGGCUCAACCUAGGUUUGACUCACAAGCAGGAAAGGAUGCUUUCAAUGAAUAAUAAAUAAGUAGCUUGAUAUUGGAUAGAGUACAAGGAGUAGUAUGAUGCAAUGCAAAACAGCAAAAGAAAAAGAAAACAAAUUAGAACCAAUAUAAAGAAUCCUGCAGAUGACAAAUGACAUAGAAUGGGGGAUAAAAGAAAGCUGGAAAUGGCGAGAUUGAAAGUUACAACAUAACAAGUAUUGAAGGCAUUGCUUUCCAAUUGUAAAUUCAGGAAAAAGAUAAAAACAUAAGCAUAUCAUGGGUUUACUUAUUUUCAUCUUUUUUCAUUUUUAUUGUAUUGCUUUUGUAUGUUAUUUUAUUGUAUGGUUGGCUUAUUUCAAAGUUCUAUGGAUCCUAGACAACAGGGUUUAUGUGGAUCUUGUAAAUAUAAAUCUAUGCACAUAAUAAAAGUGAAAAUAUG